AGUGAACGCUGGCGGUAGGCCUAACACAUGCAAGUCGAACGGCAGCACAGUAAGAGCUUGCUCUUACGGGUGGCGAGUGGCGGACGGGUGAGGAAUACAUCGGCAUCUACUUUUUCGAGGGGGAUAACGUAGGGACACUUACGCUAAUACCGCAUACGACCUACGGGUGAAAGCAGGGGAUCUUCGGACCUUGCGCGAGUGAAUGAGCCCAUGUCGGAUUAGGUAGUUGGCGGGGUAAAGGCCCACCAAGGCGACGGUCCGUAGCUGGUCUGAGAGGAAGAUCAGCCACACUGGAACUGAGGCACGGGCCAGACUCCUACGGGAGGCAGCAGGUGGGAAUAUUGGACAAUGGGGGGAAGCCUGAUCCAGCCAAAGCGCGGGGGUGAAGAAGGCCUUCGGGUUGGAAAACCCUUUUGGUGGGAAAGAAAAGGAGCAGGUUAAUACACCGAGGUUCUGACGGUACCCAAAGAAUAAGCACCGGCUAACUUAGUG
rnacentral:rRNA from 1 species